UGACGCAUAGCUUAGUUGGUAGAGCGCCUGACUGUUAAUCAGAAGGUCACUGGUUCGAGUCCAGUUGUGUCAG
rnacentral:tRNA from 1 species